GACGAACGCUGGCGGCGUGCUUAACACAUGCAAGUCGAACGGACAGGCCCUGCUUUUGUGGGGUGCUCGAGUGGCGAACGGGUGAGUAACACGUGAGUAACCUGCCCUUGACUUUGGGAUAACUUCAGGAAACUGGGGCUCAUACCGGAUAGGAGCUCCUGCUGCAUGGUGUGGGUUGGAAAGUUUCGGCGGUUGGGGAUGGACUCGCGGCUUAUCAGCUUGUUGGUGGGGUAGUGGCUUACCAAGGGUUUGACGGGUAGCCGGCCUGAGAGGGUGACCGGCGACAUUGGGACUGAGAUACGGACCAGAAGGGUACGGGAGGCAGCAGUGGGGAAUAUUGCACAAUGGGCGGAAGCCUGAUGCAGCAAUGCCGCGUGCGGGAUGACGGCCUACGGGUGGUAAACAGAUUUCGCCGGUGACGAAGAGGGAGUGACGGUAAUGGGUAAAGAAGCAACGGCUAACUACGUG
rnacentral:rRNA from 1 species